UUCCAGUGAACUAACUGUGUUACGACUUACCUCUUCUUUAGAAGAGGGUGACGGGCGAUAUGUACACCUAAAUUCAAUUUCAUUCUUAAUUUUUGUUAAAAAACUACUUCCAAAUCCUCUUUCGUUUCCUCUUUAGAAAAAAGUCCUUUAAUUAGUUUAAUAGGUAAUUAGUUUAGUCUUUUCCAUAAUCUUCACCUUGACCUGACUUACGAAAUAUUGUUUAGACAUAACUUUUGAAUUCUAUCUUUAGACGGCGGUAUAAAAGAGAAGGAAAA
rnacentral:rRNA from 1 species